GACGAACGCUGGCGGCGUGCCUAAUACAUGCAAGUUGAGCGCUGAAGGUUGGUACUUGUACCCACUGGAUGAGCAGCGAACGGGUGAGUAACGCGUGGGGAAUCUGCCUUUGAGCGGGGGACAACAUUUGGAAACGAAUGCUAAUACCGCAUAAAAACUUUAAACACAAGUUUUAAGUUUGAAAGAUGCAAUUGCAUCACUCAAAGAUGAUCCCGCGUUGUAUUAGCUAGUUGGUGAGGUAAAGGCUCACCAAGGCGAUGAUACAUGGCCGACCUGAGAGGGUGAUCGGCCACAUUGGGACUGAGACACGGCCCAAACUCCUACGGGAGGCAGCAGUAGGGAAUCUUCGGCAAUGGACGAAAGUCUGACCGAGCAACGCCGCGUGAGUGAAGAAGGGUUUCGGAUCGUAAAACUCUGUUGGUAGAGAAGAACGUUGGUGAGAGUGGAAAGCUCAUCAAGUGACGGUAACUACCCAGAAAGGGACGGCUAACUACGUG
rnacentral:rRNA from 1 species